CUCGGGAAUGCAAAUAUGCUAAGUAUGAACUCGAAAGCAAUACAAGAUGAUUGGAAGAAGAAGGAAUUGCAUAAGGGACUAAAAUGAAUUAAACUGAAAGUUCGGGGACCAAGUUGCAAAUAAUUCAUAGAUGAGACGGGAAAUGGAAUGAAGAUUCAAGAGUGUUAGAAGUCAAUCGGAUGAGGAAAGGAGUCACGAGGUGAAAUAGGGUCGAAGUAUUAUCAAGUAUCAACUUUCAGGCGAAAAAGCUAUGCUCGUGAUUUUUAGUAUCUACUUGAGAUCCAUUUUUGACAUAGUAAACAUCAGAAUUUGAGGAAGCCUAUUUCUAUCAAAACUGUAGAUCUUUGAGUUUUCUUCACAAUGUACUUUGAAUCACUUCAAUCGGAGUUCAGGAGAGAAAUUUAUGAUCAAAUUACUAAAAGCUGUCCAGCGGAAAGAAUUGUAUAACUAUGCGGUCGCAUAGUAUAAAUUCUAUGCGGUCGCAUAGAAGCCUCCCGAGAACUUUUUCUCAAAUUUUUUUACUCUAUGCGACAGCAUAGAAAUGUACUAUGCGGUCGCAUAGGUAUAAUCUGGGGGCCGUUUUGCAGUUUCCUUAUACGAUUGAAACUCCUUUGGUAACCUAAUUUCCACGCGAUUUAAAUACGAAAGAACGUCUAGAAGAAGGAGAGAACGUAAUUGGAGGCACAAAAACACAAUUUUGGAGGAUUUGGAGAGGAAGAACAAGGCAAAAACAAGGCAAUCCACUUCAAGAUUCAAGAUUUCACUUCAAGAAUCAAUUGGGUGAUGUUCUUCCUUGGUUUUAAUUGUUGUUUUUCUUUAUUUCCAAUUAUGUUAGGCUAGAUUUUCAUGUGCUAGGGGAUCGAUGUACCAUGUGAUUUGAGUUUUAUAUUUCUAGUUUUGCAAUUUGAC
rnacentral:lncRNA from 1 species